rnacentral:rRNA from 1 species
CAAUAGCGUAUAUUAAAGUUGUUGCGGUUAAAAAGCUCGUAGUUGGAUUUCUGUUGGGAACGACCGGUCCGCCCAUUGGGUGUGUAUCUGGCUUGUUCUCGGCAUCUUCUUGGUGAACGUUGCUGCACUUGACUGUGUGGAGCGCUACCCAGGACUUUUACUUUGAGGAAAUUAGAGUGUUUCAAGCAGGCAUAUGCCUUGAAUACAUUAGCAUGGAAUAAUAAGAUAGGACCUCGGUUCUAUUUUGUUGGUUUCUAGAGCUGAGGUAAUGAUUAAUAGGGAUAGUUGGGGGCAUUCGUAUUUAACUGCCAGAGGUGAAAUUCUUGGAUUUGUUAAAGACGGACUACUGCGAAAGCAUUUGCCAAGGAUGUUUUCAUUAA